AAAUACAUAAACCCUUCUCUUCUAAUAGUCACUAGUAGGUCCUUAAAGAGAGCUGUCACUUACCUACAUGGCUCAAAAAUGUACCUUAUAAUGAAUUUAGGCGUCUGAGACGAAAUUGCACAGAGUUUGAAGUAUAUAGGUAACAAGCAGAUAUUGUAAAGAAGAAAUUCCUGUCAAAAAAUUAUCAAUGCAAUGAAAUAGAGGAUGCUCUGUGUAGAGUAGAU